rfam:Oryza punctata chromosome 3, whole genome shotgun sequence.
GUUAAACGUAACUAUAAGUUUUUUUUCAAUUUUGAUCAUCCAUCUUAUUUAAAUUUUUUUAUAAUUAGUAUUUUUAUUAUUAUUAGAUGAUAAGACGUGAAUAAUGCUAUAUUUUUUAAUUUUUUUCAAAUAAAAUGAACGAUUAAAAUUGGACACGGAAAUUUAUAACUGCGCUAGAU